CCUACGGGAGGCUGCGGUGAGGAAUAUUGGUCAAUGGACGAGAGUCUGAACCAGCCAAGUAGCGUGAAGGAUGACUGCCCUAUGGGUUGUAAACUUCUUUUAUAUGGGAAUAAAACGUUCCACGUGUGGGAUUUUGUAUGUACCAUAUGAAUAAGGAUCGGCUAACUCCGUGCCAGCAGCCGCGGUAAUACGGAGGAUCCGAGCGUUAUCCGGAUUUAUUGGGUUUAAAGGGAACGUAGGUGGAUUGUUAAGUCAGUUGUGAAAGUUUGCGGCUCAACCGUAAAAUUGCAGUUGAAACUGGCAGUCUUGAGUACAGUAGAGGUGGGCGGAAUUCGUGGUGUAGCGGUGAAAUGCUUAGAUAUCACGAAGAACUCCGAUUGCGAAGGCAGUUCACUGGACUGCAACUGACACUGAGGCUCGAAAGUGUGGGUAUCAAACAGGAUUAGAUACCCUUGUAGUC
rnacentral:rRNA from 1 species